UGGAGGCGGGCCUCCGGAGGGCGGGGCGAAGAGCCUUGUUACAAGGGCUGGUGAGGGACAAAAUUGGUGGGCUGGGUGUGUGUGCGCCCGGGAUAGGUCCGUUCCGCAUAGCAACAGCGUAUCCCGUUGCUGUGGGCGCCCGCGGAGUUCUGGACGUGGCGGCGGCUGAGACAGGUGCAGGGGGAGCAGAAUGGGUUCCCGAUGCGCGGUUCGGACCUACGGAGCGGCCGCGAGAGGAUGAGCUCGGAGGAGGCGGCUGACCCGCGGGAGGAAAACCCCACCCGGGGCGCGCAGCGGGGUCUUGACACCCAGGGCCGAGGGCUCUUUCCGACUGCCGCCCACAGCGCGCCCUCUGGCCACGUGGCCCUGGCACAGAGCCAGCCGGGGGACCGCAGGAGUUUAUAAACACCCCAAAGUCAACGAAACCUGCGCCGGACAGGCGUGUCCAGCGAUAGCAGGGCCGCCCGCCGGGCGGGCGCGGGGCGAGCUCGGCCCUGGCGCGGGAGGCUGCGGUCGGCGGGGCUGAGUAUUAGCGCACGCAGUGGGCGCUUAGUAGGACGACAGAAGGGUAGAUGCGCGUCCCAGGGCAGUCUCCCAACCGUCACUGGAUGAAGCGCCGAACUGGAGAAUUGGCCUUCGCGAGCCUCCUCUCGCUGUCUCAGCAAAGCACAGUGGCCCGUGGUUAUGUGAUCCUUUGUAUCACUCAGAAGUGGCUCACAAGGGAAGGGACAGAUUUCUGACCUCAGUAUAGAAAGGCAGAGUAGGCUCCCCAGAGCCCCACAGAGGGCGCCCUAGCUGCAGGAGCGCUCCUUAGGGCCGAGGCCUCCUGGCUUCCGGUGAGUACUUCCCGUUAGGAAAGUCCAAGGACCACGUGCCUGCUGGAACAAAGGGCAGGCUGGACCCUCCUGGUUCAGGGAGAUGAGGAUGGACAGAGGCCAGCCUUGCUCUAGGACCCGAAGUUAGCAAAGUUCGAUUUUGGGCCGACGUCCAAGUUGCCCCUUUGUUCUUGGAUUAUGGAACUGGUCGAGUUCCCGGAAUUCUAUGGAGUUUCCCCACUAGACGGAAAACAAUUUUAAGCCUGAAUAAAAAUAGGAAAAAAACAUUCAAAGAUAAUACUAUAAUUUUUUUCACCAAAAACGAAGAGAAAAGCCAAAUAGUUUUCUACCAGAUGCCCCCCAGUGGCCAUCAUCAUAGCGUCCAUGUAAGAAACAUCCAAACCUAUGGAGAAUUCUGAGGUUUUUUGAACCAAAAAACAAAUGGCUUGAGACAAUGCUCUGGAGAAUGGCAGUUUUGCCCCUUAUUUUAUACAUUAGAAUAAAAAGAGGAGACGUCAGGAAGGUUACAUGAAAUCCACUGGUGGUACGUUAAGGGGUGAGAGAAAGCAAAGCGAGGAAAUCUCUGAGAUUAGGUAAAAAGACAUACUUCUACAGGGGUGGGUACAGGAGGAUAGUAAUUAACAUUUACAACUCAGAGUUGGUACUGGGGAGGGACAGGAUAGCAGUGAGGGGCUCUGUGGUUUCAGGCUCUCUGGUUGUGCCCUGAGGGGGUUUGGAAAAGGCAAUUACUCUGACAUUUGAAAGAUGAGUUAUCUUAGAUGCAAAAAGACAAUAGACAGGCUCACUUAAGGUAAAGAUUGACCUGCAUCAACGAAGCUACUGCAGGCCUAAACUUUUUAUGCUCAGACCACCCUGUGUGGUUACUUUCCGUCUCUGAGUUCGUAGCCUCAAUGCAGGCCUCCCCUGAGCUCGUCAGCUUUAGUAUGUGACCCCUUUUUCAUCCACAAAGGUUUUCAUGGUCUAGCUGCAAAGCAUACCUCCCGCAGCAGCCAGGCAGUGCAAGAGGAAGCCCGCGAGAUGUGAAGCUUGUCCACUCUCAGCUCAGCCAAGGCCCCUCUCUGGCGCCACCCACAGGCCGGCAUUGAGCAAGCUUGUGUACUUCUAUAGAAAAAGGAAUGAAUCUGAGAAUAUAGCUCUGCAUUUAAAAAGUCAGUUUCAGAAAAAAAAAAAUCAGUGCCAUUUAACUUAGUUUAAAUUUAAAAACAAAGUGUCGUAAUAAGUAUGUGUGAUGCCAGUCGGGCGUAGACUUAUCACGGUGCUCAGAUACUUAUCAGAUACCUAUGUCACUUUGAAAGUGACAUAGGUAUCUGCUGUGUCAUACAUCUGAAAUUAAUAUAAUAUUGUAUGUCAACUGUGAUUGAAAAAAACAUAGUAUUGAUUGCUGUCUCAGGAUUUCAAUAACCGCUGCCCCUUUGCCAGGGGACAGGUGGCAUGGCCUCCAGCCGUAUGGCUCCACACUUUCUCACUUGAUGGCCUUUGCCAAACGUCCUGUCCACUUUUGUUUGUCACUUAAAAUAUUAGAAUGGAAGCCACUGGGAAGGACACACACCUUUUCUACAGACACUAAGUUAAUAAAGGAGAUUAUGAUGGCACUUUCUACCUGACGAGUUUGAUUGACAGGUGUGGGGCUCACUGCUCAGCUAAGCCGUUUUGCUCACGGGAUUCUCCGGACACCCCCGCCCCACAGCACGGCUUUUGUCUCUGAAGGAGCCCUCCAGCGCUGAAGACCGGGAGGAGAGACUGCACAACUUAAAUACGCAGGAAGACAGCUCAGCCGCCUGCUUGACCUUGAGUCCAGAGAGGGGGACACGGCUGGGGCAGAGCAGGCCCCGCCCGGCCCCAGUGCAUAGCAGUCUGCCUCUAGAGCCAGGCCGCAGGCCGGUUUCUGAGUCUCCCGCACCUGGCUGGAACUCUGCGGAGCUGCACAGCACACCGGAGCUGUGGCCUUCCACUCCAGCCCACGGCCCGCUGCAGCGACCCAGCCGCUCAGCGGACUUCGUGCCUCCCAUGGACAGCAUCUGUGCAGAAGCCUGUCUGCUUCGACAUGGAGCCCCUCGCGUGAUGGGCACGAGGCCGCUGCUCUCUGCCCCGCCCCACGUCGCUCUUCGGUCCGGCUCUCCCGGGAUGGCACGGCCCUCAGGAGUACGGGGCCCCGCUCAUUCCCGUUCUUUCUCGCGAGAUUCCAAGAGAACCUGCUGGUUCCAGUCUCUCGCACCGGCGCCCCAGCCCACGUGUACCCUAUGCCCUCCCCCACCGGGCAAGCCCCAGCCUGGCUCUCCUGGGCCUGAGCCCCCUGAGAGGGGCCCACCAAAGCAGGGCUCCCAGCCCACCUUGUCUGCACCUGCUCAGCGCCAGUGGUUCUCCAGGCACCCGGCAUCCAGCGAGACGUGCCGCACACCGUCGGUAGACAUGGCAGAGCGAUAGAAACCGAACGCCUGCUGUAACCUGUUCAAGUCGCCUCUCCCGCAAUACCUCGGCUGUCCCAAGUCCACCUAAUGCCACCACCCAGGCAAGUGGCAGUGCUCUUCAGACAACAGCUAGCCUCUUGGUGAUCUCCUUCGUUAUCCCUUCUGCAUUUCUACUGUUAAGAGACUCAGGCCAUGAAACGUCUGUACUUCCCCAUCUCCUAAACCCAAUCCAAAUGGCAUCUAGACAUCUAGUGACAAAGAAGAAAACACACGUUCAUCGAAUCUGCUGACACAAAAUUUUGAGAACCCCACAUUGAGAACCAGCAUACCCAGCAGGUCCCCAGGUGCCGUGUGAAGGGGCACGACCUCUGUUUCCUACCUGAGUGCGGUACAUCGCUUGUGCGGUGUAUAUUGUGUUUGUGCAGGGUCGGACCAGAUGGUGACACCAGUAUUAAAUCUGCCAGAGUUUCACAUACAAGAUGAGACACACAUCCAGAAUUAGUUAAGAAAUGAUUUCCUUCAAAGUGGCCUAAGAAGGAUGGCUACGCCCCGAACUCUACCUCGAAAAUGAAUAGAUUUUAUCUAGCGAUAAAGGGUGGGAUCUGGAACAGAGAUUCCGGCUUCACGGGGCUCAUCGACGCUCCGAGGCCAUUCAGCGGGCUCUCUCCGUGCACAUCGAAAGGGUUCCCAGCGUUGCCUCUGUAUUGCUGACGUCCUCCAGAUAAAGUUUCACAUCCUUAAGCUGCCACUGUUCUCCUGGAAACUGAAGUCUUUCAUGAGGCUUCCGAUUUGACACUGCAUCGGACUUUUCGCACAGUGGUUGCCAUGUGCCAGGGAAUUCACCCCAAAUCCGAGAAUAACGAGUCAAGUUUGCUCAUAUACUUACCACCUUUUCCUGUUCGGCAAGAGCCCCAGAGUCAGUCAGCUAAACUACCUCCCAAGAGUAGAAGCACACUGACCUCAGCUCAUUUCAAAAUGCUUUUUACUUCUGCAUGUGUCAAAUACUUCUCUUUACAGUUUAAAAAACAAUCUAUAUUGAAGGUAAAAUGGACGAAUCUUAAGAUUGAAAAGGCAAAUAUGUGAAGGAGCCAAAACUGUGAAUCAAGUAUUUGGGAAGUCUGGAAACUAAUGGGCAUUAAAUUCAGAAAAAAACUUUUA